UCUCCGUUGGUGAACCAGCGGAGGGAUCAUUACCGAGUUUACAACUCCCAAACCCUAUGUGAACCUUACCACGCGUUGCUUCGGAGGGAUGCCCCGGGCGCGGGCCGAAAGGCCUCAGCCCCGGAACCAGGCGCCCGCCGGAGGCCCAAACCAAACUCUUGUUUUUGUAGAAUCUUCUGAGUGGCCUUUUAGGCAGAAAAUGAAUCAAAACUUUCAACAACGGAUCUCUUGGUUCUG
rnacentral:misc_RNA from 1 species